AACGAACGCUGGCGGCAUGCCUAACACAUGCAAGUCGAACGAGACCUUCGGGUCUAGUGGCGCACGGGUGCGUAACGCGUGGGAACCUGCCCUUAGGUUCGGAAUAACUCCCCGAAAGGGGUGCUAAUACCGGAUAAUGUCUUCGGACCAAAGAUUUAUCGCCUUUGGAUGGGCCCGCGUUGGAUUAGCUAGUUGGUAGGGUAAAAGCCUACCAAGGCGACGAUCCAUAGCUGGUCUGAGAGGAUGAUCAGCCACACUGGGACUGCGACACGGCCCAGACGCCUACGGGAGGCAGCAGUGGGGAAUAUUGGACAAUGGGCGAAAGCCUGAUCCAGCAAUGCCGCGUGAGUGAUGAAGGCCUUAGGGUUGUAAAGCUCUUUUACCCGGGAUGAUAAUGACAGUACCGGGAGAAUAAGCUCCGGCUAACUCCGUG
rnacentral:rRNA from 1 species